AUUGAACGCUGGCGGCAGGCCUAACACAUGCAAGUCGAGCGGAUGAAGGGAGCUUGCUCCUGGAUUCAGCGGCGGACGGGUGAGUAAUGCCUAGGAAUCUGCCUGGUAGUGGGGGAUAACUUCCGGAAACGGGCGCUAAUACCGCAUACGUCCUGAGGGAGAAAGUGGGGGAUCUUCGGACCUCACGCUAUCAGAUGAGCCUAGGUCGGAUUAGCUAGUUGGUGGGGUAAAGGCCUACCAAGGCGACGAUCCGUAACUGGUCUGAGAGGAUGAUCAGUCACACUGGAACUGAGACACGGUCCAGACUCCUACGGGAGGCAGCAGUGGGGAAUAUUGGAAGAUGGGCGAAAGACUGAUCCAGCCAUGCCGCGUGUGUGAAGAAGGUCUUCGGAUUGUAAAGCACUUUAAGUUGGGAGGAAGGGCAGUAAGUUAAUACCUGGCUGUUUUGACGUUACCAACAGAAUAAGCACCGGCUAACUUCGUG
rnacentral:rRNA from 1 species